rnacentral:lncRNA from 1 species
CUUUAUUCUUGGCCAGGUCGCAGAUGUAAAUGAGAACUUGUUCUCAACUAGCCUACCUGGUUAAAUAAUGGUGAUUUUAUUUUUUUAUUAAAAUAAUGGCACAGAUACAAAGAUGAGUCCUCUAUCUCUAUGGUCCCACGUGCUCUCUCCUCCUCCCAUCUUUGAGAUCAUAUAUUUCAGUCGACAUGUAGGCGCAAAUCAGUCAUCAUGUUUAACAGCAUAGUGCAACACACUUUGAAAGGCGAAGACCAUUCCCUUGAAGGUUCCAAAUCACUCACAGCUGGCACAAAAAAAAUUAUACUUGAAAUGUUGGAACCUUGAUGAUCACCACAUUGUGUUAGUUAAAGUUAAAUCAAAUGUCAAAUACAUCAAAUGUAGCCUACAAUGUAACAAUUUCUAUCAGCGGGCUACAAUGUUACUGUUAUGGUUACUGUUAUGGUUACAUUCAGCAUACAUGCUAAUUGGCAUCUUUCCAUGAACUAAAAACUUUCAAGAUAAAUAUGCAGUCAACCCGUGGGAAAGGAAUAUGUUUAUUGUUGCGGUGGGAAUUGUAGUUCUUCUGGCCUUCCCAAUGUUCUCGCAACAUUACAGUGACGUUGUUGCAACGUGAUAUCAUGCGCUGGCUGUGGACUGCUUGAUAACCACUUCCGCUUUUUUUCCUCGCAGGUCAAUAUUUGCGUUUACCUAGAAAGACAGUAAAGACAUUGUAGAAAGGUUUUUGUUGGUUAAAACUCACGUUUAGGAGAUCGACAGGUUGAGAUAUUUAUGGAGCAUAAUAAUGGAGAUACUUCUAGCUGGUCGAUGCAGCGACGAAUGGAAGGUUUGGUCAACAAACACAUGGCAGACAUAGCACUAGAAACACUCCAACAGAGACUAUCAGCUGUGUCCGACGAAAUGAACCAUCUUGCGGAACAUGUCUCGAGACGCUCGGAGGAUGUUCCCAAGUAUGAUAUUCCAAGACGCACAGAUGUAAACUUUGACGUUGAGUCACUGAGUGCAACAUUUAGCACGGGUGGUGUUGGGGAAAAGUUGGCGAUCCCAGGCACCUCAUCAUCAGCAGAGACGGCUGCCCAGCGUAAAAUCAUCUCCCUGCUGGUGGAGAUUAAGGAGGAGCAGCAGAGACAGUGGGGCGUUUUGAGGCAGAUGCAGGCCAGGGUUCAGGGCCAGAGCUUUCCGGUGGUAGAGGAAGAGGUGGAGGCUCUAGACAUUGACAUCCCACUGAGGACCAUGGAGCAGCUAGAUGACACAGAGAGGCACCUGGAGGAUGCAGGAGCACAGAAGAGAAUGGUGUCUCACCUGUCACGAAUGGGUGGGGCCACGUUUGAUGAUGCGGUGCGAAGGCUCAUGCAGGCAGUGCUAUCUUUUGCUGUGGGCUCUGAGCUCAACUGGGUGGGCCGAGGCCAGAAAAGGAGCUUCAGAAACACCCGCCUCCAAGGGGUUCUCUUUUGUGCUCUGAAAAGAACCCCAGUGGGCAAAGAGGCCACACAUCACCAGUUUGCAGACGUGGUGAAGAAGUGGCUGCGGUUCGCCCCGUUCAGACAGGGAGGGAGUGGUCGACGGCAUUAUAAACCACCUGGUGACUUCCUGUGUCCAAAGGAAUGUGUAGGUCUGCCUACACAUCAGCCUACACAUCCACAGUAACUCACAAUCAGCUUACUAAAUAUAUUAUAUUGUUUAACAUUUUAGUAUUAUUUCCUAAGUUUGUUACAUUGCAAAAAAUAAAUGCUAUUUGAAUGUGAAUACAUGCUGUUUGGCCCAUGUUACUUCAUACAGGGCCAAACCUGUGAUCUGCUCAAGUAACUUGGACCCCUACAUAAAUCAUGCAAUGAUGUAAAUCACGUGCCAAACUCAUUCCACGGAGGGUAGAGUGUCUGCGGGUUUUCACUCCUCCCUUGUACUUGAUUGAUGAAUCAAGGUCACUAAUUAGUAAAUAACUUCAGUCACCUGGUUUUCUAGGUAUUAAUUGAAAAUAAAUAAUAAAAACCCGCAGACACUAGGCACAACAUGGAAUGAGUUUGACACCCCUGAUGUAAAUUGAAGAUGUAUCCUCAAAGUCCAGUUUCUCACACAGUUCUCAAAAUGAUGCCCACAAUGUAUAGUCUCCAAUAGAGACACAUCCCAUGACGCUCCUCACAUCACAGAUCUGUCAGGUGUGGUUGGAUGUUUAUCCCAGAGUAAUUCAAACCAAAUACUGCUGCAAAACCUGUUGAUAAAAGUUGUUUAUUGCAGUUAAUGCUUUGAACGUACUGAUUAGAAAGCUUUCCGGCAGAUUUUUUUUACCCCACUAAUGAGAUUAUGGCUAAAUAUACACUACCAUUCAAAAGUUUGGGGUCACAUAGAAAUGUCCUUGUUUUUGAAAAAGCACCUUUUUUGUCCAUUUAAAAUAACAUCAAAUUGAUCAGAAAUACUGUGUAGACAUUGUUAAUGUUGUAAAUGACUAUUGUAGCUGGAAACGGCUGAUUUUGAAUGGAAUAUCAACAUAGGCGUACAGAGGCCCAUUAUCAGCACUUCAGCAGGCCCAUUAUCAGCACUCCUGUGUUCCAAUGGCACAAUAUGUUAGCUAAUCCAAGUUUAGCAUUUUAAAAGGCUAAUUGAUCAUUAGAAAACCCUUUUGCAAUUAUGUUAGCACAGCUGAAAACUGUUGGGUUGAUUUAAAGAAGCAAUAAAACUGGCCUUCUUUAGACUAGUUGAGUAUCUGGAGCAUCAGCAUUUGUGGGUUCGAUUACAGGGUCGAAAUGGCCAGAAACAAAUGUUUUUCUUCUGAAACUUGUCAGUCUAUUCAUGUUCUGAGAAAUGAAGGCUAUUCCAUGUGAGAAAUUGGCAAGAAACUGAAGAUCUCGUACAACGCUGUGUACUACUCCCUUCACAGAACAGCGCAAACUGGCUCUAACCAUAAGAGGAGUGGGAGGCCCUGGUGCACAACUGAGCAAGAGGACAAGUACAUUAGUGUCUAGUUUGAGAAACAGACACCUCACAAGUCCUCAACUGGCAGCUUCAUUAAAUAGUACCCACAAAACACCAGUCUCAACGUCAACAGUGAAGAGGCGACUCCAGGACGCUGGCCUUCUAAACAGAGUUGCAAAGAAAAAGUAGAUAUUCUAUUAAAAAUCAGCAGUUUCCAGCUACAAUAGUCAUUUACAACAUUAACUAUGUCUCCACUGUAUUUCUGAUCAAUUUGGCUGUUAAUAUAGGCCAUGAACAUUGCAGUUUGUAGUAGGUCUGAUGUUUUCAUACUUACGAGGACGCAGGCUUCCGUGUCAUUCAGAUGACAUCUUUCUGCACAUUGUUUUUCCUAUAUAUAACUAUGAGUGAGUGAAUGUUGAAGACACGAAAGCAAUUUACUAUAUGUUAAAAAGUAAUGUCCAUAUAAGCUUAUUUCUUGUGACAACCAUCAUACAUUGUAAAUGUCCAUAAAUUGAUAUUUGUAAAUACAUAUUUCUCAUUCAUUUCUGUUUCCUUGUUUUGUAAUGAAAAAAUGUGUAAUUGGGGUACCAGCCCAAACUGUUAUAGCUCACUGACAUCAUUGAUUCAGGUAUGGUUUCUGCUGGGCACUGAGAAACGCACACACAAAGGCAUUUUUUUUAAGAAAUAGCUGUGUUUUUGGUUGCUACUGGUGAAUUUUGAAGGGAA